rnacentral:sRNA from 1 species
UGCUUUCUAGUGGCUUAACGCCUGCUGC